rnacentral:rRNA from 1 species
UAGGGAAUCUUCCACAAUGGGCGCAAGCCUGAUGGAGCAACACCGCGUGAGUGAAGAAGGUCUUCGGAUCGUAAAACUCUGUUGUUAGAGAAGAACAUGCAGGAGAGUAACUGUUCUUGUAUUGACGGUAUCUAACCAGAAAGCCACGGCUAACUACGUGCCAG